GGCACUUUGGCGGAGUGGUUAACGCGUAAGUUUCCGCGGUGUGAUUCAUCAACACCAUUACUAACCCUCUACAGGCUGCCCUGCUAUCAUUCCCAUGGGAUGUAGUGGUUUAGGCAGUUCCUUCGGGAGCGCAGGUUCGAAUCCUGCAGGUGUCG
rfam:Cyphellophora europaea CBS 101466 unplaced genomic scaffold supercont1.2, whole genome shotgun sequence.